CCCGUACCAUAGUCCCAUUUAACUACUUGUGUUUACCAUCCAUAUUUUACAGACUGUUCAGUGUUAGGUUUUCCCCGUACCAUAGUCCCAUUUAACUACUUGUGUUUACCAUCCAUAUUUUACAGACUGUUCAGUGUUAGGUUUUCCCCGUACCAUAGUCCUAUUUAACUACUUGUGUUUACCAUCCAUAUUUUAGAGACUGUUCAGUGUUAGGUUUUCCCUUACCAUAGUCCCAUUUAACUACUAGUGUUUACCAUCCAUAUUUUACAGACUGUUCAGUGUUAGGUUUUCCCCGUACCAUAGUCCUAUUUAACUAC